UCCCACUCGCCUCACUCCCUUGAGCUGGGCUGACUGGGUGAAGACUGGGUAUGGACCCCUCGCCCUGCCUAUCGCCACCAUGUCAGGACACGGUGCACCUGCUUGCGGGAUGUCACUGUGCCUGGCACAGCUGCAGACGCACUCCAAGCUCCUCUGAGGACUGAGGUGUAGAGAGAGCCCAGCUGAGUUAUAACGGGCUUUGUCUGGUGGAGAAGUGGCUGGGCAUUUCUCCAACACCCCAAAGGGAUGAUGGGGCAGGGUCCAUUGCAGGGGAGGGCACGCCACAGGCCUCCACAACGGCAGAGGAGUUUUGGCUCGGAGGUGUGUGUCGCAGGAUGCCGGGUGUGCGUGGUGUGGGGAGUAUGUGGAGGAGGCUAACGACUGUGGUCUGUGGGGUGCUGGCUGUACUGCAGUUGUGAGGUCUAGUUUUCUUGGCUUCAUCUUUACCUUUUCCGUGAGUCGCCCUGUACGCAGCCGUAUGUGCAGACACGCAGGGACAUAUGCACACACUCACACACGCAUGCACGCACACACACCUGUGUCCUCAAAGCUUUUCACACCUCCUUCUUCCAUAUCCACUGACACACGGGUAGCGCCCUGCAUUAGGGUGCAGCGCUCACAUGUGCAUGCAGACACUGAGCCAGGUGCACACGGAACACAAGCACACACACCCGGGCCCCGGGCUGACCCCGCAGAAGAGGUUCGUUGCUCCCCGCCGCUUUCCUGUCCCUGAUCUUCCGCCUCCUGUCUCCUCCCAGGGGCAGGACUCCCUCUUGUUGGAAUGUUGCAGAGGCUGCUCGGUGCCCCUCAAUUAACCUUGGGAAGCUGCCAGGAGAGCAGCCCUCGCAGAGCCAGCCCCUCCGUCUCCUUCUCCCCAUAUUCCCCCUUCCAUCAGCUCAUUGUCCCGGAUUCCCCAUGAGACUCUCUUUUCAGUGCCUCCACUGGCCUCC
rnacentral:lncRNA from 1 species